AAUAGAUACCCAGGUAGUCCACGCCGUAAACGAUGAGUGCUAAGUGUUAGAGGGUUUCCGCCCUUUAGUGCUGAAGUUAACGCAUUAAGCACUCCGCCUGGGGAGUACGGCCGCAAGGCUGAAACUCAAAGGAAUUGACGGGGGCCCGCACAAGCGGUGGGGCAUGUGGUUUAAUUCGAAGCAACGCGAAGAACCUUACCAGGUCUUGACAUCCUCUGACAACCCUAGAGAUAGGGCUUCUCCUUCGGGAGCAGAGUGACAGGUGGUGCAUGGUUGUCGUCAGCUCGUGUCGUGAGAUGUUGGGUUAAGUCCCGCAACGAGCGCAACCCUUGAUCUUAGUUGCCAUCAUUCAGUUGGGCACUCUAAGGUGACUGCCGGCGACAAACCGGAGGAAGGUGGGGAUGACGUCAAAUCAUCAUGCCCCUUAUGACCUGGGCUACACACGUGCUACAAUGGACGGUACAAAGAGCUGCAAGACCGCGAGGUGGAGCUAAUCUCAUAAAACCGUUCUCAGUUCGGA
rnacentral:rRNA from 1 species